GACGAACGCUGGCGGCGUGCUUAACACAUGCAAGUCGAACGGAAAGGCCCUGCUUUUGUGGGGUGCUCGAGUGGCGAACGGGUGAGUAACACGUGAGUAACCUGCCCUUGACUUUGGGAUAACUUCAGGAAACUGGGGCUAAUACCGGAUAGGAGCUCCUGCUGCAUGGUGGGGGUUGGAAAGUUUCGGCGGUUGGGGAUGGACUCGCGGCUUAUCAGCUUGUUGGUGGGGUAGUGGCUUACCAAGGCUUUGACGGGUAGCCGGCCUGAGAGGGUGACCGGCCACAAUGGGCCUGAGAUACGGCCCAGACUCCUACGUGAGGCAGCAGUGGGGAAUAUUGCACAAUGGGCGGAAGUCUGAUGCAGCAACGCCGCGUGCGGGAUGACGGCCUUCGGGUUGUAAACCGCUUUCGCCUGUGACGAAGCGUGAGUGACGGUAAUGGGUAAAGAAGCACCGGCUAACUACGUG
rnacentral:rRNA from 1 species